AAAUAAUAUAUUGUUUGCUACGGGGUUGAAGGUCGAUGAUUUUCACGGUAAUACUUCUUUGAACUUGUGUGAACUUUUUUAAUAAUAAUUUAAAAAACUGAUUAAUAAUUUUGAAAUUUUAACUUCUAGGUCCGUACCUUAGCACUUGCAAGAAGAGCAAAUUAUACAUUAACCACUCAAUUCGUACAGACGGGAUUCCUGAAUGGUUUGCAAAAGACGAAAAUGCACAAAAGUCGGUAACAUGGAACCGCACACAUGGAUUUUCGCUCCCACAAGCAUUAAUAAUUUCAAAUGCCAGGAGAAUUCGAAUAAACCAAUUUGCGUUUCGGACCAAUGUAAACUAUUAUCGCGUUAUUGGCCAUAUUGAAAAAAUAUAUGUUGAACAUCUAUGGAUUGAUUUAUGCAAUACAUGCUAUAACCAAGUUGA